rnacentral:rRNA from 1 species
GGCGGCGUGUUAACACAUGCAAGUCGCACGAGAACGCUUCAGCUUGCUGAAGUUAGUAAAGUGGCGCACGGGUGAGUAACACGUGGGUAAUCUUCCCCCGAAUUGGGGAUAACAUUGCGAAAGCGAUGCUAAUACCGAAUAAUAUCUUUAUUGCUCAGGCAUUGAAGAUCAAAGGUGGCCUCUACAUGUAAGCUACUGUUUGGGGAUGAGCCCGCGUACCAUUAGCUUGUUGGUAGGGUAACGGCCUACCAAGGCCGCGAUGGUUAGCUGGUCUGAGAGGAUGAUCAGCCACACUGGAACUGACACACGGUCCAGACUCCUACGGGAGGCAGCAGUGAGGAAUUUUGCGCAAUGGGGGAAACCCUGACGCAGCAACGCCGCGUGAGUGAUGAAGGCUUUAGGGUCGUAAAGCUCUGUCAAGUGGGAAGAAACCACUUGGUGCUAAUACCACCAUGUGUUGACGGUACCACUGAAGGAAGCACCGGCUAACUCCGUGCCAGCAGCCGCGGUAAUACGGGGGGUGCAAGCGUUAUUCGGAAUUACUGGGCGUAAAGAGCGCGUAGGCGGUCUUUUAAGUCAGGUGUGAAAGCCCGGGGCUCAACCCCGGAAGUGCACUUGAAACUGAGAGACUUGAGUAUGGGAGAGGGAAGUGGAAUUCCUGGUGUAGAGGUGAAAUUCGUAGAUAUCAGGAGGAACACCGGUGGCGAAGGCGACUUCCUGGACCAAUACUGACGCUGAGGCGCGAAGGCGUGGGGAGCGAACAGGAUUAGAUACCCUGGUAGUCCACGCAGUAAACGUUGUACACUAAGUGUCACGGGUAUUGACCCCUGUGGUGCUGCAGCUAACGCAUUAAGUGUUCCGCCUGGGAAGUACGGCCGCAAGGCUAAAACUCAAAGGAAUUGCCGGGGCCCGCACAAGCGGUGGAGCAUGUGGUUUAAUUCGACGCAACGCGAAGAACCUUACCUGGAUUUGACAUCCCGGGAAUCCUUUGGAAACACAGGAGUGCCCUUCGGGGAGCCCGGUGACAGGUGCUGCAUGGCUGUCGUCAGCUCGUGUCGUGAGAUGUUCGGUUAAGUCCGGCAACGAGCGCAACCCCUAUUGUUAGUUGCCAUCAUUAAGUUGGGCACUUUAGCAAGACUCCCGGUGUCAAACCGGCGGAAGAUGGGGAUGACGUCAAGUCCUCAUGGCCCUUAUGGUUGGGGCUACACACGUACUACAAUGGCUACUACAGAGGGCAGCGAGACCGCGAGGUGGAGCAAAUCCCAGAAAAGUAGCCCAAGUUCGGAUUGGAGUCUGCAACUCGACUCCAUGAAGUUGGAAUCGCUAGUAAUCGCAGAUCAGCAUGCUGCGGUGAAUACGUUCCCGGGCCUUGUACACACCGCCCGUCACACCACGAAAGUUGGUUGGACCCGAAGUCAUUUGCCUAACCUUUCGAGGAUGCAGGCGCCUAAGGUAUG